UACAGAGGUCUCAAGCGUUGUUCGGAUUCAUUGGGCGUAAAGGGCGCGCAGGCGGCCGGCCGCGUCCGGCGUGAAAGCCCCGGGCUCAACCCGGGAGGGGCGCUGGAGACGGGCCGGCUCGAGGGCGGGAGAGGGGUGCGGAAUUCCCAGUGUAGAGGUGAAAUUCGUAGAUAUUGGGAAGAACACCGGUGGCGAAGGCGGCACCCUGGCCCGUCCCUGACGCUGAGGCGCGAAAGCGUGGGGAGCAAACGGG
rnacentral:rRNA from 1 species